GACAGAGGCCUCGAGCGUUAGGCGGAAUCACUGGGCUUAAAGCGUGUGUAGGCGGAUCGUUAAGUGCCUUGUGAAAUCCCACGGCUUAACUGUGGAACGGCUGGGCAUACUGGCGGUCUUGAGCCAUCUAGGGGCGACUGGAACAAACGGUGGAGCGGUGAAAUGCGUAGAUAUCAUUUGGAACGCCAAUGGUGAAAACAGGUAGCUGGGGCUGUGCUGACGCUGAGACACGAAAGCCAGGGGAGCGAACGGG
rnacentral:rRNA from 1 species